GACGAACGCUGGCGGCGUGCCUAAUACAUGCAAGUCGAACGCAGUGGGGACGGGUGAGUAACACGUGGGUAACCUCCCAUCAGAGGGGAUAACACUUCGAAACAGGUGCUAAACCGCUACUGAUGGAUGGACCCGCGGUGCAUUAGCUAGUUGGUGAGGGAACGGCUCACCAAGGCCACGAUGAAUACCCUGGUUGAGAGGGUGAUCGGCCAAACUGGGAAUGAGACACGGGCCAGACUCCUACGGGAGGCAGCAGUAGGGAAUCGUCGGCAAUUGACGAAAGUCUGACUGAGCAAAGCCGCGUGAGUGAAGAAGGUUGUCUGAUCGUAAAACUCUGUUGUUAGAGAAGCGGGAUCUAACCAGAAAGCCACGGCUAACUCCGUGCCAGCAGCCGCGGUAAUUC
rnacentral:rRNA from 1 species